rnacentral:rRNA from 1 species
GUGCCAGCAGCCGCGGUAAGACGAACCGUCCAAACGUUAUUCGGAAUUACUGGGCUUAAAGGGUGCGUAGGCGGCGAGGAAAGUAGGGUGUGAAAUCCCUCGGCUUAACCGAGGAACUGCGCUCUAAACUACCUUGCUCGAGGGAGACAGAGGUGAGCGGAACUUAGGGUGGAGCGGUGAAAUGUGUUGAUAUCCUAAGGAACACCGGUGGCGAAGGCGGCUCACUGGGUCUCUUCUGACGCUGAGGCACGAAAGCUAGGGUAGCGAACGGGAUUAGAAACCCCGGUAGUCC